rnacentral:rRNA from 1 species
UACGUAGGGGGCAAGCGUUGUCCGGAAUCAUUGGGCGUAAAGCGCGUGUAGGCGGCCCGGUAAGUCCGCUGUGAAAGUCGGGGGCUCAACCCUCGAAUGCCGGUGGAUACUGUCGGGCUAGAGUACGGAAGAGGCGAGUGGAAUUCCUGGUGUAGCGGUGAAAUGCGUAGAUAUCAGGAGGAACACCUGCGGUGUAGACGGCUUUCUGGACCAUUACUGACACUGAGACACGAAAGCGUGGGUAGCAAACAGG